GAGCAAGAGCGUCAUCAAUCAAAUGGCGCGACUUGCCUUGAAGGUUGGCGAUAACAAUGGCAAUGGCGAUUCUCCGUGCCUAUCAAAUCCUUUUGUUUUGAUCUUGGCCUCGAACAAGUCGCUACAUU